rnacentral:rRNA from 1 species
AUUGAACGCUGGCGGCAUGCCUUACACAUGCAAGUCGAACGGUAACGGGCCUUCGGGUGCCGACGAGUGGCGAACGGGUGAGUAAUGUAUCGGAACGUACCUUUCAGUGGGGGAUAACGUAGCGAAAGUUACGCUAAUACCGCAUAUUCUGUGAGCAGGAAAGCAGGGGAUCGCAAGACCUUGCGCUGAUUGAGCGGCCGAUAUCAGAUUAGCUAGUUGGUGAGGUAAAGGCUCACCAAAGGCGACGAUCUGUAGCGGGUCUGAGAGGAUGAUCGCCACACUGGAACUGAGACACGGUCCAGACUCCUACGGGAGGCAGCAGUGGGGAAUUUUGGACAAUGGGCGCAAGCCUGAUCCAGCCAUGCCGCGUGAGUGAAGAAGGCCUUCGGGUUGUAAAGGACUCUUUUCUAGCCGGGAAGAAAACGGACCAUGGGUUAAGUAACCCUAGUGUGGUAUGACGGUACCGGAAGUAAGAAGCAACCGGCUAACUACGUGCCAGCAGCCGACC